AAUUCUCUCAUGGGUUGUGGGAGCUCACAGCCCCAUCCCCAUACAUGGUUGUGGUCUCUCAGGAAGGCAGCAGUGUGGUCUACAAGAUGAAACUGCUGGGUCUUCUCCUGUGCCUGAUGACAAGUCCCCAUGGUGUCCUGUCCCAGGUGCAGCUACAGGAGUCGGGGUCUGGCCUGGUAAAGCCCUCACAGACCCUGUCCCUCACCUGCUCAGUCUCUGGAUUCUCCAUCACAACUACUAAUUACUGGUGGAGCUGGAUCCGUCAGCCCCCAGCAAAGAGCCUGGAGUGGAUGGGCCACAUAAGCUAUAGUGGUAGUACUUACUACAACCCGUCCUUCCAGAGCCGCAUCUCCAUCUCCAGAGACACAGGCAAGAACCAAUUCUCUCUGCAGCUGAACUCUCUCACCACAGAAGACACAGCCACCUAUUACUGUGCAAGAUACACAGUGUUUUGA